rnacentral:ncRNA from 1 species
UCGGUCCUCGGUAGUGGCCCCCGGAACCCGCCUCGAGCGGGAAGACCGUGAGCCUCGAUCGAAGACCG